UACGAAGGGUGCAAGCGUUACUCGGAAUUACUGGGCGUAAGCGUGCGUAGGUGGUGAGUUAAGUCUGUCGUGAAAGCCCCGGGCUCAACCUGGGAAUGGCGAUGGAUACUGGCUCGCUAGAGUGCGGUAGAGGAGAGUGGAAUUCCCGGUGUAGCAGUGAAAUGCGUAGAGAUCGGGAGGAACAUCAGUUGCGAAGGCGGCUCUCUGGACCAGCACUGGACACUGAGGCACGAAAGCGUGGGGAGCAAACAGG
rnacentral:rRNA from 1 species